AUUGAACGCUGGCGGCAGGCCUAACACAUGCAAGUCGAGCGGAGCGGCGGACGGAUGAGUAAUGCCAAGGAAUCUGCCUGGAAGUGGGGGAUAACGUCCGGAAAAGGGCGCUAAUACCGAAUAAUAACAGAUUAGGCUAGGUAGGAUUAGGUAGUAGGUGGGGUAAAGGCCUACCAAGGCGACGAUCCGUAACUGGUCUGGGAGGGUGAUCAGUCACAUUGGAUCUGAGAUACGGUCAAGACUCUGACGGGAGGCAGCAGGGUGCAAUAUUGGACAUUGGGCGAAAGGCGUAUCCAGCCAUUCCUCGUGUGUGAAGAAGGCCUUCGGAUUGUAAAGCACUUUAUGUUGGGAGGUGUUACCAACAGAAGAAGCACCGGCUAACUUCGUGCCAGCAGCCGCGGUAAUAC
rnacentral:rRNA from 1 species